rnacentral:lncRNA from 1 species
CAGAACACUCUAAACCAUUUUGUGCCAUUAAGUGUAUACAACAUUUAUUGUAAGUACUAGAUUUGAUUGUAAGCCAUUUUCCUCUCUGAGUAUUCUGAAGUUAACACAUGCAAACUGAGAAAAAGUGGCAUUUCAUAAAAUGAAAUGGAGUGGGGAGACAACUUAGGCUUCUCUUUGAUCACCACUGUUUGCUUUCAUAAGCUAUUCUGAGCCCUCUCAUUCUAAAAUAAGCCAAUUAACAUAUUUCAGGGAUUCUCCCAAUACUGCUAACUGUGCCUUGAAAGUCAAAAGUUUGCUUUAGAGAAGGGCAUGGUGGCUCAUACCUGUAGUCCCAGCUACUCAGGAAUGAGGCUUUAAUUAUGUGCCUUAUUUUAUAAAAAUGUGUGUAAAUUCAGACUCACUAGAAUACAUCCUCUUGGUAUUUUAAGGGUAGAGCAUUAUCUUUUAAAAUACUUCUUAAAUAUACCAAAUCAUGUUUAUUGAUACAAACUUCAUUCUUGGACUUAAUGACUGAUACCUAAUGGCACCACCUGGCUGUUUACCUGUUGGCCAGGAAUACACUAAAAUUUAGUGCUGUUAUUUUUUAGAUGUUGGAGAUGCUUAGGGCAGAACUGGUGUAACCUAUGGCUGCCUUCAAUGUUAAAAUGUUAAAGAACAGAUGAAGCAAAUGCACUAUAUCAAUGAAUUGCUUUUAUUUUUAAUAUUAAAUAUUUUACAUACAUUGAGUUAUGAUUCUGAUUUAGAGUAAAGGUUUUCUUGCACAAAACAUAGAAUAAGUGUUCCAGUGUAUUUGUGUUCCAAUUGGUGAAGGCAUGCUGAAAUUUCUAUUUCCUUUAAAUGAAAAAGGAGACAGAAUUUUUAUUUAUUUAUUUAUUUUUUGGAGACAAAGUCUUGCUCUGUCACCCAGGCUGGAGUACAGUGGCAUGAUCUCGGCUCACUGCAAACUCCGUCUCCUGGGUUCAAGUGAUCUUCCUGCCUCAGCCUCCUGAGUAGCUGGGACUACAGGUAUACAUUACCACGCCCAGCUAAAUUUCGUGUUUUUAGUAGAGACGGGGCUUCGCCAUGUUGGCAUUUCGCUAUGUUGGCCAGGCUGGUCUCGAGCUCCUGAUCUCAGGUGAUCCACCUGCCUUGGCCUCCCAAAGUGCUAGGAUUACAGCACCAUGCCCAGCCUAGAAUUAAUUUUUAUGGGUAAGCAAUAAUUAGUUAAUAAAACAUGCUUAAGUAAAAGCUACUGGAUUAACUGUGUUUCAUUACACUUAAUGAUGUGAACAUAAUCAAUGGAACC